UAUAGCAGGGACGGUGCUGCCUCUCUCUUCGCUCGUUCUCCGCCGCUCGCCGCUCGCUCGCGCACCCAAAAACGGUCAGUUUUGGCCCGUUUCUGGGCCAUUUUGGCCUGUUUUUGGGCCUUUUUUGCUUCGCUUUAUUCAUCUUCUUCCUUGUGUGGCCAAAAAUGCCUUGCUCUGUACUUCUUCGUGCACGGCGGUGUCUUGUCGUCGAUUGCCUUGUUUGAUCAGCCACUUGAGUCUUUGUUACUCGUGGUUAGCGACGGGCUGUCCGAUGGGGUGACUGUGUCGGCAUGUGAGUGGUGAUGGAUUUGUAUGUCGCGGUGGGCUCCCUGCUAUUGUGCAGUAGACCACCGACGCCGCAAGUCUCUUCAAUGGCACUCUGUUUGAAUGGAGAUGCGUGUGUUGCCUGUACAAUCUACCUAGUUCCUUUGGAAAUAGACAUUGUUUACCUCGCUUAUCCACUUCUCAUGUCCUAUGUGAAUGAGGAGUGUCGAUGUCCGUGCACCUUGUGUGUCCUCGAACGAUUGCAUGUCUCAGACCUCUCGUUUCGAGUGGCUCCAGUGUUCACGUGAGUGCUCUUGGAUGCAGUGGAUAAGAAUGUACCAUGGGUCUUCGGACUCUUGGCACGUGAUCGGUUGGCUUUCUUAGUCGCCCUUUGACGGAUGACGGCCUUCCCAUCGGUGCCCCCUUUCCCUUGUGGUAAUGGGUCGGCAUGUUGGGCUUGGCGUCGUAGAGGACGUGCUACCUGGUUGAUCCUGCCAGUAGU
rnacentral:misc_RNA from 1 species